rnacentral:rRNA from 1 species
CGAAAGCCUGACGGAGCAACGCCGCGUGAGGGACGAAGGCCUCUGGGCUGUAAACCUCUUUUCUCAAGGAAGAAGACCUGACGGUACUUGAGGAAUAAGCCACGGCUAAUUCCGUGCCAGCAGCCGCGGUAAUACGGAGGAUGCAAGCGUUAUCCGGAAUCAUUGGGCGUAAAGCGUCCGCAGGUGGUUAUUCAAGUCUGCUGUUAAAGACAGAAGCUCAACUUCUGAAAGGCAGUGGAAACUGGAGAGCUAGAGUACGGUAGGGGUUGAGGGAAUUCCCAGUGUAGCGGUGAAAUGCGUAGAUAUUGGGAAGAACACCAGUGGCGAAGGCGCUCAACUGGGCCGUAACUGACACUCAGGGACGAAAGCUAGGGGAGCG